rnacentral:rRNA from 1 species
GACGAACGCUGGCGGCGUGCCUAAUACAUGCAAGUAGAACGCAGUUGCGAACGGGUGAGUAACGCGUAGGUAAAUGCCUCAUAGCGGGGGAUAACUAUUGGAAACGAUAGCUAAUACCGCAUACUGUGAGAUGGACCUGCGUUGUAUUAGGUAGUUGGUGAGGUAAAGGCUAACCAAGGCGACGAUACAUAGCCGACCUUGGAGGUAGAGCGGGCCCAAUGGGACUGAGUCACGGCCCCGACUACCACGGGAGGCAUAAGGAGGGAAUCUUCGGCAAGGGACGGAAGUCUUACCUAGCGAAGCCGCGUGAGAGAAGAAGGUUGUCGGAUCUGAAAGCUCUGUUGUUAGAGAAGCGGUAACUAACCAGAAAGGGACGGCUAACUACGUGCCAGCAGCCGCGGUAAUAC